rnacentral:lncRNA from 1 species
UUUCCUUCCUUCUUUCUCUCUUUCGCUGUCUCUACAAAUUAAUUCUUUUAUUAUCUUUUUUUUUUCUUAAAUAUUAACUUUAUAAUGAUAUGCCCCGUUUUAAGUAUUUUAACCCUUGACCACUGAUGCCCUGUCCGACUGACGUAGGGCCCCGUAACGUAUGUCAAGGCUCUGCCUAAAUUCGUUGGGGUUCUGUCUCGUGACGUAGGGAUAAAGUGUAAUUGGGUUACUAUACUUAAUGUGAGUGCACUAUAUAUGUUAUUAAAUAACUCAGGAGUGAUACCCAAAAUAUAACAACCCUCCUAAAACACCCUUGACACCCCUACACUUCCUAAAAUACACCCUGUAUGUGAAAAACAAGCCCGAAAUACAAUAUAUAAAUUAAAAACAAGAAAUAGUAAGUUGAGGCGGGCCGCGUAGACCCACCCCAACCAUUCACGCGGGCCGUAUGAGGGUUAUACCGGAUUCCCUUGAUUUCUUAAGUUCAAGCGGGCCGCGUAAAGAUCCCCGUUAGUUUACGCGGGCCGCGCGUGUUCCAAAUGGUGGCGCAACUCUGAGCUGACACGUGUCGAUAUCGUGUCGAGUCUACUUGGUGACCAGGCUAAGCUACGCAGUUGACCGGAGUCAACGCGGGCCGCGUAAGCCCAGUCCAUAUUUUACGCGGGCCGCGAGAGAGUCCAGUAUCAGCCCUAUAAAUUGGAUCGUCGAGCCUUCAGUCUGCUUCGUUCAAAAUCAAUUCUUUCUCUCUCAAAAUUAAAUAGUGGGCAUUAUACGCGGGUAUUAUACCCCCUAAUUAGCGAAGCUCUGCCUCGUUGUAAGUAUCAUAACCCCUGGAUACGUAUUAGAUACUCUGCUCGAUUGAUCUAGGGUUCCGUAACGGCUGUCGUGGUUCUACCCGACGUAGUCGUUGGAAUACCGUCUCGGGGAGGGUAUUACUAAUGUUAAAAUGGGUUAUUAUGCUAACGCGUGUGCAUUGUUUAUUCAAUUAGAUUAUAACCAGGAAGCCACAAAGGAAAUACCUAAAAUAGCAAUUUAUUGAGUAUUUGUAAGAAUACAAUUAUCACGGGUAUGUUGGGGUUUUGUAUACAAAAUUGGUUACAACCUGGAUAGGAAACCUGGAUAUGGAGUAACAUUACCACAAGUCGGGUAUCGACAGUACCAUGAGUGAUAAUUGAUAUAACUUGGAAACAAAUGUAAUUGCGGGAUCGCCCUCAAUACUGUUCACUGUGACUUUCUAUUUAAACUUGAUUAAACUGGGAUUCACUCACCAGUAUUUCUUGCUGAUAAAAUGUUUUAAACACGUGUUUCAGGUAACUUAGUAUGAAGCACAUAAAAGCCAGCUGGAGAGCACUGAAGGCUUAGAAAAGUGGCUAUAAAAGUUACCUAAAUAAAAGAAAGUGUUUACUUCAAUAAAAUGGGAUUUAUCCCUGUAAAUCAGUUUGUAAUGAAAACUUGGGUUUUACCCAUGUGAUUAUAAAAAUAAAAAUGUGGUGGUUUACU